rnacentral:tmRNA from 1 species
GGGGCCGAUUAGGAUUCGACGCCGGUAGCGAAACUCUAGGUGCAUGCCGAGUUGGUAACAGAACUCGUAAAUCCACUGUUGCAACUUUCUAUAGUUGCCAAUGACAACCACUACGAGGGUCAAGCUCUCGCUGCGUAAGCAGCUGAGCCCGCUCUCCUGGUAGCUUCGGCUCCAGCAAUCAUCAGGGGAUGCCUGUAAACCCGAAAUGAUUGUCAUACAGAACAGGAUCGUCGUGCAGCACGUUGGGGGCGAAGCGACUAAAACUUACCCAACUCAUCCAAAGCACCCUGCCCGUCGGGCGGCUGCGGAUUAAAUCAGUAGACACGGCUAAGCAUGUAGUACCGACAGCGGAGUACUGGCGGACGGGGGUUCAAAUCCCCCCGGCUCCACCA